rnacentral:rRNA from 1 species
AGCUCCAAUAGCGUAUAUUAAAGUUGUUGCAGUUAAAAAGCUCGUAGUUGGAUUUCGGAAUGGGCCAGUUGGUCCGCCGCAAGGUGAGUUACUGACUGGUUUGUUCUUCUUCGCAAAGACUGCGUGUGCUCUUUACUGAGUGUACGUAGGAUUUACGACGUUUACUUUGAAAAAAUUAGAGUGUUCAAAGCAGGCUAUCGCUUGAAUACAUGAGCAUGGAAUAAUGGAAUAGGACUUUGGUUCUAUUUUAUUGGUUUCUAGGACCGAAGUAAUGAUUAAGAGGGACAAUUGGGGGCAUUCAUAUUUCGUUGUCAGAGGUGAAAUUCUUGGAUUUACGAAAGACGAACAACUGCGAAAGCAUUUGCCAAGAGUGUUUUCA